rnacentral:rRNA from 1 species
CCUACGGGAGGCAGCAGUGAGGAAUAUUGGUCAAUGGACGAAAGUCUGAACCAGCCAAGUAGCGUGCAGGAUGACGGCCCUAUGGGUUGUAAACUGCUUUUAUACGGGGAUAAAACGAGGCACGUGUGUCUUUUUGCAGGUACCGUAUGAAUAAGGAUCGGCUAACUCCGUGCCAGCAGCCGCGGUAAUACGGAGGAUCCGAGCGUUAUCCGGAUUUAUUGGGUUUAAAGGGAGCGUAGGCGGGCGGUUAAGUUAGUGGUGAAAUGCCGAGGCUCAACCUGGGAAAUGCCACUGGUACUGGUCAGCGUGAGAGCGGGUGAGGUAGGCGGAA